UGACUUAUCUAGUGUUAUUUGGGGUUAGUAUAUGUUAGAAUACAAUGAAUUUGAUUUAUUACAAGUGCUAGAGAUGCAUGAAGAGUGUUUUAAAGUAUGGAGAAAGACUUGUUGAAAUUGGGUCCCAAAUGGGCUAAGAACUCGGAAACAUUGCGUUGAACCACUAAAUGACUUAUCUAGUGUUGUUUGGGGUUAGAAUAUCUUAGAAUACAAUAACUUUGAUUGAUUACAAGUGCUAGAGAUGCAUGAAGAGUGUUUAGAAGUGUGUAGAAAGACAUGUUGAAAUUUGGUCCCAAAUGGGCUAAGAAUCGAUAAACAUCUCUUUGGAG
rnacentral:lncRNA from 1 species